CACGUAGGUGGCAAGCGUUGUCCGGAUUUACUGGGUGUAAAGGGCGUGUAGCCGGGAAGGCAAGUCAGAUGUGAAAGGCGGGGGCCCAACCCCCGGACUGCUUUGGGAACUGUACGGCUGGAGUGCAGGAGAGGUAAGUGGAAUUCCUAGUGUAGCGGUGAAAUGCGUAGAUAUUAGGAGGAACACCAGUGGCGAAGGCGGCUUACUGGACUGUAACUGACGUUGAGGCUCGAAAGCGUGGGGAGCAAACAGG
rnacentral:rRNA from 1 species